GUUGCUAUGAUGAGAUAAAGCACUGGAUGUGUUUAUGGGUAGUGGACGAGGCUUCUUAAUGUUGUCUCGCCGUGAGCCUAAUUAAAAAACGACUUCUCCUUCCACUGAGCUUU